rnacentral:tRNA from 1 species
GGGCGCUUAGCUCAGUUGGCGAGAGCACCUCCCUUACAAGGAGGGGGUCGGGGCUCGAGUCCCUCAGCGCCCA